GUGUCUUAGGCGGUUCCAGCCGUUAGUCACAGGGCGGCCGGACUACAAUCCCAGCAUACAACGGGAGUGGAGGUGGUGACCUUGAGAGAGGGCCUGUGCUGUGCGCGCCUCGCGGGGCAUGCUGGGAGCAGUAGCAUCUUAGCUGCUUCCGGCCGCUGGUCGCAGGGCUGCGGGACUACAAUCUUCGCAUGAAAUGGAAGAGAGGGUGGUGCGGAUAGCUUGAGGAAGGUCUCGCAUCUGGGGCUCGAUCUCGUGCAGAGGAGCAUUUCCGAAGACACUGGCCGCUCCCACAAUGGCUCCGAAGAACCCAGCGACCAGCGGGUUCAUGAGUUUGUUGGGGCUGUCCACUCGGUACCAGCUGCGCAGGGAUGUCAGGACAAAGAAACAAGUUGCCUGGUUCCAGCCCUGCUUCAGCACGGGGCCUGUGGGGCCCCGGUAAGUCCCGGUGUUCCCGCACAAUCUCCUAACCCUGUGGAAGAAUCCCCUGUACUUGGAUUUGGAGAGGUCUGGCCAUGGAUUAACUUCACCUUGAUGGUCUCCAUGGGACAUAGGACCACCACGGCCUCGGCCACGCUAGCUCACUGGCCGCACCGCUGCCCGCCUUGCUGUUCACCAGUCCCUGGGCAUCCCGCAUCUGGUUGCUGAGGAACGCCUGACGCCGCCUUGUGGAUGAAGCCGCAGAGCAGGGAGCUGAGGCUGCGGCCCAGGCCCAGGCUGCCUUGGCUGCGACUGUGUGCCUGCAGGCCCCAUGCCCGGUAUCCGGUGGAUGCGAGUGCUAGUCCAGCUGCAGCUGCAUCUUCACGAACUCGGUGGGGAACGGGAUGCAGAUUUUUUUUUUCUUUUCCUUCCUUCCUUCCUUCCUUCCAACUUCCUUCCUUCCUUCCCCUUUCUUUCUUUCUUUUUUUUUUUUUUUUUUUUUUGACAGAAUUUUGCUCUUGUCCCCCAGGCUGGAGUGCAGUGGCGCGAUCUUGGCUCACUACAACCUGGAUUCAAGCGAUUCUCCUGCCUCAGCCUCCCGAGUAGCUGGGAUUACAGGCAUGUGCCACCAUUCCCGGCUAAUUUUUUUGUCUUUUUAGUAGAGACGGUGUUUCCCCAUGUUGGUCAGGCUGGUCUCAAACGCCUGACUCAGAUGAUCCGCCCGCCUCGGCCACCCAAAGUGCUGAGAUUACAGGCUUGAACCACCGCGCCUGGCCCUGUGAUGUAGAUUUUGAUGCUGCCAGCCAGGCUGCCUGCCGGGAUCGCCUGCCCUGGAGCAGGAGCAUCAGCCGUGCGUUCCAGGACGCAGGCAUGGCAUGACCGGCAGGAGGCGGAGUGCCCGGCGUCUCUUGGGAUCGGAGCCUCCUGAAUUCCACGCUGGGACCUUAAUUUGGUUUUAACACAAAUAAAGAUCUCACAUAAAGAUAAAA
rnacentral:lncRNA from 1 species